rnacentral:tRNA from 1 species
GGUGGUAGCUCAGUGGUAGAGCACUUGCCUAGCGCAUGUGAGGCACUGAGUUCAAUCCUCAGCACCA